rnacentral:rRNA from 1 species
GACGAACGCUGGCGGCGUGCCUAAUACAUGCAAGUAGAACGCUGAAGAGAGGAGCUUGCUCUUCUUGGAUGAGUUGCGAACGGGUGAGUAACGCGUAGGUAACCUGCCUUGUAGCGGGGGAUAACUAUUGGAAACGAUAGCUAAUACCGCAUAACAAUGGAUGACACAUGUCAUUUAUUUGAAAGGGGCAAUUGCUCCACUACAAGAUGGACCUGCGUUGUAUUAGCUAGUAGGUGAGGUAAUGGCUCACCUAGGCGACGAUACAUAGCCGACCUGAGAGGGUGAUCGGCCACACUGGGACUGAGACACGGCCCAGACUCCUACGGGAGGCAGCAGUAGGGAAUCUUCGGCAAUGGGGGCAACCCUGACCGAGCAACGCCGCGUGAGUGAAGAAGGGUUUCGGAUCGUAAAGCUCUGUUGUAAGUCAAGAACGGGUGUGAGAGUGGAAAGUUCACACUGUGACGGUAGCCUACCAGAAAGGGACGGCUAACUACGUG